AAUCAACGCUGGCGGCGUGCCUCAGACAUGCAAGUCGGACGAUUAAAGCUCUCUUCGGAGAGUGUAUAGAGUGGCGCACGGGUGAGUAACACGUAAGUAAUCUACCUUCGAGUGGGGAAUAACCCGGGGAAACCCGAGCUAAUACCGCAUAAUGCAGCGGCACCUAAUGGUGACAGUUGUUAAAGGAGUAAUUCGCUUGAAGAGGAGCUUGCGGCAGAUUAGCUAGUUGGUAAGGUAAUGGCUUACCAAGGCUACGAUCUGUAACCGGUCUAAGAGGACGGUCGGUCACACUGACACUGAAUAACGGGUCAGACUCCUACGGGAGGCAGCAGUCGGGAAUUUUGGGCAAUGGGCGAAAGCCUGACCCAGCAACGCCGCGUGAAGGAUGAAGUAUUUCGGUAU
rnacentral:rRNA from 1 species